AAUCCGGUUGAUCCUGCCGGACCUGACUGCUAUCGGAUUGAUACUAAGCCAUGCGAGUCAUUGUAGCAAUACAAGGCAGACGGCUCAGUAACGCGUAGUCAACCUAACCUAUGGACGGGAAUAACCUCGGGAAACUGAGAAUAAUGCCCGAUAGAACACUAUAUCUGGAAUGGUUUGUGUUCCAAAUGAUUUAU
rnacentral:rRNA from 1 species